GGAGAGGUGUCCGAGUGGCCGAAGGACCACGACCGGAAAUCGUGUAGCCACCCACAAGGUGGCUCGUGGGUUCGAAUCCCACCCUCUCCG
rnacentral:tRNA from 8 species